UCACUUACCUGGCAGGGAGACACCAUAUCAGGAAGGCCGUUCACCUCCGGGCGCGAAGGCUCGUCCCAUGCACUCCUGCCGUGCUGACCCCUGCGCAAUUCCCCAAAUGUGGGAAUCUCUACUGCAUAAUUUAUGGUUUGGGGGUACUGCGUUCGCGCUCCCUCCCG